AUUGAACGCUGGCGGCAGGCUUAACACAUGCAAGUCGAGCGAGCGGCGGACGGGUGAGUAAUGUCUGGGAAACUGCCUGAUGGAGGGGGAUAACUACUGGAAACGGUAGCUAAUACCGCAUACCAUCAGAUGUGCCCAGAGGGGAUUAGCUAGUUGGUGGGGUAAAGGCUCACCUAGGCGACGAUCCCUACCUGGGCUGAGAGGAUGACCGGCCACACUGGGACUGGGACACGGUCCAGACCCCUACGGGAGGCAGCAGGGGGGAAUAUUGCACAAUGGGCGGAAGGCUGAUGGAGCAAUGCCGCGUGUGUGAAGAAGGCCUUCGGGUUGUAAAGCACUUUCAGCGAGGAAGCGGUACCCGCAGAAGAAGCCACGGCUAACUCCGUGCCAGCAGCCGCGGUAAUAC
rnacentral:rRNA from 1 species